CUCUCUAGAACGAUCGCUAGCAACUCCUCUCGCUGAAGAAACCUCCAGCACGCGCGCUGCACCCGCAGCUUCUCCACGCAGCACCCCCGUCUCUCACCUCCCAACUCUACCAAAACCCUUGGCGGCUCCUUCGAAAAAAUAGGCCACCACCGACGGAGGAGGGUGGUGAACAUCUGGAGGCGGUGACCGGAGGAGAGUUUCACGGGGAGCAUUGAUAAUUGGGUCUGGUCACUCGCGGUGUGAUUUGUGAGAGUUUCACGGGGAGCAAAUGAGGGGUUCAAAUUUUCUUUGAUGAAUGAGGGGUUGGGAUUUCAACAAGUUAUUCAGGUUUGGUUUAUUCAAAAAAUAUUUAACAACUAUCAUUAUAUUUCCCUUUUUCUAUAAUUAUUUUGAAUGUAUAUUGUAGCAGUAUCAAGGUUUUCAAACAAAUCAACCAGGUGACUAUACAUUUCCAGUAGUAAAGCGUCCUCCUUACUAUAGUAUGAUGCAAGCAAAUUGACAAUUUUAUUUUCCUCAUCCAUUUUUGGUAUGAUCAUAAAUUAACUUGUGCUUAUAGCGAUUUGUUGACAUCUCAAAUUAGGUAUCAGUUCUCAUCAAAUAGGCAAUAUAUAUACUUGAAUGUGUAGAUACAGGAGGAUCAAGUCCAAAGAGCUCAGAGUCAUGCAGAUAAGUAGAAGUGCAGGUUAGAGGAGGUACUCUCGUAGGGAGCAGCAGUACGAUACGACGUUCUAAUGCAGACGAUGCUGUAAUAAGGAUGCCGACAACGACGAUGACGAGGAGUGAGUGAGACUUGUGUUAAGACAUAUUAUGACUUUUAAAUUUUACCUAUAUGUAAUAUAUUUGUGAUUUUAUUGCGUAGUGAAUGAAUAUUAUUUGAGCAUGCGAGAUGUAUUGUGAUUGUG